ensembl:lncRNA
UGCUUUGAAAACCCUUUUAAUGUGAAUUACAAAGUCUACAGACAGCAAUAAUGUUUUAGGCCUCUUUUUUGUGAGCAUCCCUCACUAGAUAUAUGGUGGGAGCUUUAGGAUGAAAAGCAAAAAUCAAAACUAUUUAAACUACUGCUUACCUAAGUUCAACCAAAAUUAAUUUCAUUGUAGUGUUCCAGUUAUAAACAGUUAUUUUCUUUGUACUUUGAUAAAAACAUAACUGCUGGUGCCUAAAAGUUUACAAAACUGGUAUUUCUGCAAAUAUCUUAAAGAAUUGCAUUUAAGACAGUGUGUUAGAAGUUCCCCAGUUUUUUUAGUGUUGUACAACAUGUAAAUAAUAUGUAUGUUGUAAAAAUGAAAUAUAUUUACCAUUUAAACAUUAGGGUUUUAUUAUGUGGGCCAUUGUAAAGCCUGCAUAACCAGUUAAGCAGCUCAUAGGCAAAUGCAGCUGUGUUAGUUACACCAGGCUGGGUUAGUCUGAAAGCCCAGGAGCUUGUUUUGACUUUGUGCUGUGUACCCAAUACUACAACAAAGGCAGCCUGCAUGAGACACUAUCCGGGACAGCUGCAGAGCAAAAGCUGAAACUGCAGCAGUCGUAUGUUAAGAAAUAAAUACUGCAAAUCUCAUCUGGUACUAAUGCAGUUAUCUGUAUUGGAAACAAUAGCAAUUCCCGAUAACAAUAAUUGUUACCUGAACUUUUUCAGUCUUAAUUUUACAGUAACUAUUUUUUUUGCAUUGAUUUACAAGCUUUUAACUUUUUAAAACAUUUUUUUUGCUUUUCUAUUCACCUGACUUUCACUCACUUUCUCGUUUGCAUUCAAAGUAAUACUCAUGCAGCAUUUUCCCCUCAAGAUAUUUAAAAAUUUUCUUUGUUUUGCUGUACUGCUAAUCCCUUUUUACAGGUGUAAGAAGAAAGCAGCAAUUUGUCUUUAUAUAUUGAAUAGUUCACCAGGCAGCUUAGAGGGGCUCUAGAAUGUAGAUAGCCCUUAUUUUACAGAAAUAAUAUGGUUUAAAUGGGAAAAAAACUUUCUAUUCUCUCCCCAUCUCCGAACUCUUCCAGUGUUGGAAAACAUUGGUACUUUGCCUGAAACAUAUACACAACUUACUCUUAAGAAAUGAAAUUUAAUUGCCAAUAAAAUUGUUCUGUCUUUUGUGAAUUGAAGAGCAUAGUUUGAAAACUUUUUUUCCUCCUUCUGAGCUGUAACACAUAGGGUUGGACUGCAUCUGGUCCUGGAGGUGUGACAUCUACUGAGGAGAUCCAAAGAGGUUGUAGUCACAGUCCAGCUUCUGAUUAGUCAUGUUUGACAGUAGCUGCUGGUGCUUGCUGCUGCCAGAAUGAAGUCCCUGUCAACCCAUGGUGACUCACACAUAUGGACCAACCAGAAUGCUUUGUUCAUACCUUUGUCCAGUCUAAGGAAUUAUUUCCUUCUGUGGUCAUGUGGGCUAGAAACUUAAAAUGAGGCUGAACUUGACAGUAGAAUCUGUUUCCUAUGUCACUGCAGCUCUAAAGUCUUCUGGGAAAGAGAACAGUGGGAGUUGACAAGGCUGUGUGUCAUGGGCCGCAAGAGGAAGGAGCCAGCAGAAAUAAGCAGGUUUGGCUGGUAACAACAAAGUACCUCCUAAGCACUGUGACUGAUAUUCAUCAACAUACUGGUCUUCGUCUUGCAUCCAGAAAAGCUUAAAUUAAUUUCAAUAUGUCUCAUUAAACUUAAAUGGGUCUCAAGUGUUGGUCAUGUGGCAUGCAUCUUGUUCAUGUAAACAUUGUUGGGAGAAUAAUUUAUUCUGUGACUUCUGGAAACUACUGCUGUGAUGUGUGUCAUAGAAACGACCACAGGAUACAUAGGUGAUCUAGACUAGAAAGAAAAUGCUCAUGAAGUUUUGAAAUUGUUGAUUGAAUCAUGAGUCUCAUUUUUAGUCAUGGUUCCCAUGGGAUUUUCCAGCAACUGGCGAUAUAAAUGUAUCGUUUCCUUACAGCACCCCAUUGCACACCCUACUCUAUACUGCUAAAGAACUUUACAGUAACAGGGGAGGUUGAGCUUGUUGGCAUAUAAGCCUAUCUGUAUCUUUUAUGCAGGAGCUCUGCAGGAGGUCAGGAAAGCAUUUAAACCCCAAAUGCAUGUGUAAUUGUAUUGAUUUUAUUUUUAUGAAAGUGUCUGCAUUAGUAUCAGGCUAUAUUGGUUUUACUGAGAGAAUCCAAGUGUCUAACUGAUGGUUUGGUGGAAGAAGUGUUCAUCUGCUCCCAAGAGGCAUCUAAAACUUGCUGUUAACUUCACCUAGAGCAAAGUCAGACCUAGAGAUGGUUAUAACUGAACUGCAAGGACAAGGGCACUCUGAGAGGCUCUUAGGGCUACAGAACUUUCCUAUUUUCCUUUCUGUGAAAUGAAUGUGUACCAGAAGAGGACAUGAUGGUGUAACAGAGCCUUGUAGGUUCUAGGAUCCUCUGACAAAACCUGAAAAAACCUCUGACAAAACCUGAAAUCUGAAGAUGGUGUAGUAUGUGUUGUACAAAACAAGAGGUUAAAACCAUUGUCAAAUCUGAAUUUACAUAACAAGAAAACAAUAGCCUCACAAAAUGCAAGACUGUAGCACAGACUACAGUAUGUAGAGUGCUUUUUGUGGUAUCAAGAGUGCAUUAGAGACCAGCAAAAUUUGCUGAAAAGAUAUGACAGUUUGUCUUACAGGGGAAAAAAAUCUGAGCAGGUUUUUAAUUUUAUUUCAAAGGACUAAAAAAUAACUUGUAAGCGAUAUACUACAUUGGUCUAUUACUAGUAGUUAAAUUUUUAUUGCAUUACACAAAACCUCUGGGAGUGAUACUCUUCCACAUUAUGUUUCAGAGAGCUGCUUUAUAUUUCUGAAGAGCAUGAGUGAGGAUUUAAUGGAGUCUCUAUGCGAUCUAAUAUUAUGUGAAACAAAAUGUUAAUCAAAGCAACCUGGAUGAACAAGAGAUCAGUGGCUGUGAAACAAGCAGAGAUAGAGGUGCACUUGGGUUGAGUGGAGGCUUCUGAGGAGGAGGAGAAGGGGGGGGUGUUGAAACUGAGGAGUACCUAAGGCAAAGCUGGAGGUUGGCUUCUCUGCUUUUGGGUGGUCAUUGUGUUUGAGCUCCCUCCCCUAACUCAUCCUUCAUUGUUUAGGUCCACCAACGAACAAUUUGUCAAGUACAUUUAACAAAGAACAUAACAUAUUUUUUGCACAUAAGAAUGAUACAUUCUACCAGAAGAUACUCUUGUGCUUCCUGUAACUAAUGGCUUAUUAUGGAAGAGAAGUUGCACAAACCAUUAAAGGGAGCGUGUUACAAAACUUUAAAUCUUUUAUAGUACAUUGGUUUUUUACUUUUAAUCCUAAAUUAUUCUUAAUAUAAAAUGUGUAGUUUUGGACCUUCUUUACUGCUUAAAAUCUUUUAAUAAAAGCCUUUGUUAUAUACACUCUUUUAUACAGCUUGAGUUUUCAGUGUACAAGGCCAAAUGCUUAUAAAAGAAAGACUGGCUUCAGCUCAAUUCAGACUUGGUCUGGUUAAAGUUAUGAUAUUUUUUUUAUUACUGUACUUCUUGAACCAUAUAAAGUAAGGUCUAUGUGUAUUACUAACACAGAUUAGGUUUUGUUAUAAAAUUAAUUAUCUGAAAUUGUAUUUUAACUAUCCUAGCCUAAAACAUGUAAAGAAGUAAAAAAAAAAAAUAAAUAAAAACUGUAGGCAAGUUCCAAUAUUCCUAAGCUUUGGGUCUAUGCUUUAACAAAUUUGGACAAUAAAUUGGAAGCAGAGCAACAAGCAGUAGCAGGUUAGGUGAUGCUGGAGUGGGAAAGGAAAAUGAGGUAUUAAAAAAAUAAGAAAAAAAUAAAAGGAAAAAUAAAAUUAAUAGCACUUAUUUCUGGUAAGGAAGAUUUGGCCACUGUUCUUUAUAUCACAGCCCAUGAAUGCUUGCUUAUAGAGUAGGUUGCUUUUUUAUUAAAAUGACCAGAGUAUGUGGUGGAAUUUGCAGAAUUUUUCAAAUGUUUUAAAAGAAUCUUUUUUCACUGAAGGAGUUACAAUAUAUAACAAAUAAAAUGUGUAUUUGCUGAGAAAAAUGCAUACCAAUAGUUUUCCUUAUUAUUCCUUUUGCUAAGAGGAUAAUUACAGGUGCUGAACACAAGUGCACUAAUGUACUCUUGGACUUCAAGUGAAAGGUACCUGCUGGGGAAGAGAAUCGUCCUCCCCAGCUGAACUUUAUGCCAUGGAAACGUAUACAAAGUGGCAAGAGCAACAUUUAUCUUCCAGGAUUGAUUACUAGUAAUGCAUUUGCAAUGUGCUUGCAAUAUAUCCAAGGUGAUGUAUCUGAUUAUCAUUCUUCUCUCUCAAAUUACAAAACACAUCAGUCAAAAGCUAACAGGAGCUGGGACAUAUGGCAUCUCAGAGAAGAACAAGCUGCUGGGCUUCCACCACUUAGAAAGCUGUGCCUGCCCUGCCUCAGUGCCAGGAGAGGCCACUGAGUCCUGCUGACUUCAGAGCCUGGGAGCUGUGAAUUCAGACUUUUUGGGAUGCUGUAGCUCCUGUUCUUUCUGCAUGUCACUUACAAGUCAUCCAUGCUGUGUUCUUGGUAGGCCCAAGGGAUAUAGAUUACUGCUACCUUCUGUACUACUCAGCUCUGCUGUGAGUACUAGUGACAUGUCAUGUACAGGACAGUUGGUUUGGAGCUGCUGUUUCCUUUGAACUGAUUUAAUUUUUGAAGUUUAAUCAGUAUAUGGUUGCAAUCCUGCAUGUUUUUAUGCUUAUUUAAAAUAUGUCCCCAUACAUGCUUUAUUUAUAUCUGAAUACUUGCAGUACCCAGUACUAGAGUUUGUAUUAAAAAACUUACAUUUUAGACAACAUACUCCACAAUGAUUUUUCUUUUUAUUUCAUGUAGCCCAAGCUUCAUGAAAGUUUGUAAAUCUAUUUUGUAGUAAGCUUCAUACUGUCUGAUAAGCCCAUGUAGCUGCAGCUCUUUGUAUUUUUCAUCCCACAUGUGAUGCAAGAUUAAAAGUGACAUGAUUUCUUUGAUACUGUAAGCAGGCGUUCAUACCAAAUGAGGUGGUCAUCCCCUGUCACAGUGCUGCCCUUCUACUGCACCAUCCCGGGUGCUGGGGCAUCCUGCAACUGAGUGGUAAAGCAGGUCAGGAUUAAAUCUAAACAAUUUUUCUUGUUGCUAGCUUAGUUGUAACCCAAUAGAGUUUGCUGUGCAGCCACAGCAAUAUUUUUAUGGGCACAAAGAGGCACAGGGCACAGGUGUGAAAAUGAGCAGCUUACAGCAGAAACAGACCCAUCUUUCUAAGUCCCACGACUCUCUUAUCAUGACCUAAUCAUGAAACUAUGGUACUACUUUACUCGAAAUUACGCUUAUAAAUUAGCAUCUUGGCAAGCACGUCUGGGUAACAUAAUCAGGCUUUUAACUGCUCAAAGAGGAUCAGAAACAUUUAAAAUGCACAAGUGAUCUUUCCAUCAAACCAAACAACAGCAACCAGAGCCAGUCAGAAUAUUUUAUGCUCACAGUAAGGUCAAAUCCAUCUGAAAUUAAAAAAAA